GCCAACAUAGCUCAGCUGGUAGAGCAGCUCACUCGUAAUGAGCAGGUCACCGGUUCGAGUCCGGUUGUUGGCU
rnacentral:tRNA from 3 species